GGUCGAUGAUGAGCCGGCAUGUAUUCUGAAUCUAAAGUUGAUUAAUACCACUUUAGCUCUAGAAUUACUCUGAGACCUG
ensembl:snoRNA